UACGUAGGGCGCAAGCGUUGUCCGGAAUUAUUGGGCGUAAAGAGCUUGUAGGCGGUUUGUCGCGUCUGCUGUGAAAAUCCGGGGCUCAACCCCGGACUUGCAGUGGGUACGGGCAGGCUAGAGUGUGGUAGGGGAGACUGGAAUUCCUGGUGUAGCGGUGAAAUGCGCAGAUAUCAGGAGGAACACCGGUGGCGAAGGCGGGUCUCUGGGCAGUAACUGACGCUGAGGAGCGAAAGCGUGGGGAGCGAACAGG
rnacentral:rRNA from 1 species